GCAUUGGUGGUACAAUGGUCAGCAUAGCUGCCUUCCAAGCAGAUAACCUGGGUUCAAUUCCUAGCUAAUGCA